AUAUGACAGUUCUCAGACCUUAUUAAGCACAAACUCAAUAUUCUAAGAGAUUUAAUGGAGUUCGAGCUCAGUGAUCAUUGGUAGAUUGAAGCAAUUAUCUACACUGGUUUUGGGCAUUAACUAUGGAGGCUAGAGUGCAAGACCAAUUCCUGUCAAUUAAGCAUGAGCCUUAAAGCUUCCGGUCUUUUCCGUGGAGCACUGUUCUGACAUAAACGCUCCCUCAGUGUGCCUGUUAGAUGUUUCAGAUGCGCUGCCAUCCCUGUGAAAGCUAAAAAUAGAAGCUUGUCUGUCUCUCUCUCCUUUUUCAAGCCACAUUGCCGUUCUUCCCUGUGAGUGUGAGUUAGAGAGAGGACACAUUCAAAUUCACUUUCAUCAUGAUUCAGCAUUCUCAUCUGGGCAAGGAAGGUAUCCGCUUUAAGAAAACAGAUCUCUGGGACUUUGGAAGACGUCCACUGGAAAAUGCUGAAUGGGUAACUGUGCUGCUGAAAGCUGCCAAGCGCUCCGAUGACGGCGAUGCUCAGCGUCUCGACCAUCCCGCGCGGAUCAGGACCAGAUCAGGACUGCAGACGACGACUAUUGAUCAA